rnacentral:rRNA from 1 species
CGAACGCUGGCGGCGUGCCUAAUACAUGCAAGUGGGACGCAAGGAAACACACUGUGCUUGCACACCGUGUUUUCUUGAGUCGCGAACGGGUGAGUAACGCGUAGGUAACCUGCCUAUUAGCGGGGGAUAACUAUUGGAAACGAUAGCUAAUACCGCAUAAUAUUAAUUAUUGCAUGAUAAUUGAUUGAAAGAUGCAAGCGCAUCACUAGUAGAUGGACCUGCGUUGUAUUAGCUAGUUGGUAAGGUAAGAGCUUACCAAGGCGACGAUACAUAGCCGACCUGAGAGGGUGAUCGGCCACACUGGGACUGAGACACGGCCCAGACUCCUACGGGAGGCAGCAGUAGGGAAUCUUCGGCAAUGGACGAAAGUCUGACCGAGCAACGCCGCGUGAGUGAAGAAGGUUUUCGGAUCGUAAAGCUCUGUUGUAAGUCAAGAACGUGUGUGAGAGUGGAAAGUUCA